UACAGAGGGGGCAAGCGUUGUUCGGAAUUACUGGGCGUAAAGGGCGCGUAGGCGGCCUUCUAAGUCGAACGUGAAAUCCCCGGGCUCAACCCGGGAACUGCGUCCGAUACUGGAAGGCUUGAAUUCGGGAGAGGGAUGCGGAAAUUCCGAGGUGUAGCGGUGAAAUGCGGUAGAUAUCUGGAAGGAACACCGGUGGCGAAGGA
rnacentral:rRNA from 1 species